rnacentral:rRNA from 1 species
GGGGAAUAUUGGACAAUGGACCACAAGUCUGAUCCAGCAAUUCUGUGUGCACGAUGACGUUUUUCGGAAUGUAAAGUGCUUUCAGUCGGGAAGAAGUCAGUGACGGUACCGACAGAAGAAGCGACGGCUAAAUACGUGCCAGCAGCCGCGGUAAUACGUAUGUCGCAAGCGUUAUCCGGAUUUAUUGGGCGUAAAGCGCGUCUAGGCGGCAAGGAAAGUCUGAUGUGAAAAUGCGGAGCUCAACUCCGUAUGGCGUUGGAAACUGCCUUACUAGAGUACUGGAGAGGUAGGCGGAACUACAAGUGUAGAGGUGAAAUUCGUAGAUAUUUGUAGGAAUGCCGAUGGGGAAGCCAGCCUACUGGACAGAUACUGACGCUAAAGCGCGAAAGCGUGGGUAGCAAACAGGAUUAGAUACCCUGGUAGUCCACGCUGUAAACGAUGAUUACUAGGUGUUGGGGGUCAAACCUCAGCGCCCAAGCUAACGCGAUAAGUAAUCCGCCUGGGGAGUACGUACGCAAGUAUG